rnacentral:lncRNA from 1 species
AGCAUUGGGCUGGACCUUGGGAAACGCCUGCUUCUGCUUCUCAGCAGGAGCCUGCAGGGCUCAGCCUAGAGAGCUCAGACCUCACCCUACUUCUCCUCACCAGGUACUUUAGUUGGUGUUCAUGUGGUGUGUGUGCGUGUGUGCCUGUGCGUGCGUGUGUGUGUGUGUGUGUGUGUGUGUGUGUGUGUGUGUGUGUGUGUGUUGCGCAUUUCCCCAGCAGAACGGAAACUCCAACAGGCUGGCUGUUUAUGCCAGUUCUCUUGGCCGACGUACACCCAGCAUCUGGAAGCAUGCCCAGCAGAGAGAAGGCGCCUAAUGGACGUUUGUUACAAUUCUCUCCUGAGAGUGUAGUUCUGAGUGAUAGGGGGUCAAACUAGGGACAUAAAAGGUGGAAAAAAGAAGAACCCACAAAGUAGCAUAGGCCAGCUACAACUACUGCAACUGAAGUGUCCAGGCAAGGCACAGAUUACUCUUGAUCAGCAAGGUCCAAUUGGAAGAUGGAACACAGAGACUGGAAAGGCAGAACCAAACCGUGAUGAGCUGAAGCCUAGCGCCAGCAGUGCCCGUCCUGCAUUGAAGGGACCCAAGAGAGCAGCCCUCCUCUCCUCCUUGUUCCCGAAGCCUGAAGAACGCGUGUCACCUGCUAAUGGGACCCGGCAGGUGGAACUAGAUCACAGGUUGAAAUGAAGAUGUCAGACUGCAAAGCAGGGGACAGUAACCAGACCUGGCAGGUUUGGGAUAUGGGACUGCUUCCGUUUGUCUGCAACCGAUGACUACGAUUGUCUCGUGCUCUAGGAGGGGCGUGAAUCUUGCCAGCUGCAGAUAGUUUAAUUCUGGGGACUCUGGAGAAGGACUAAAUGUCAAAGUCUUGAGAGGGGUGGGAGGUGCUCCAAAAGGAGGAGAAGGAGGAGGAAGUGGUGGCGGAGGCUGCUGCUCCCUCAUGCUGCUCCUGGUUGCUGUUGUUGCGGUUUGAUGGGAAGAAGUUGGAAAUAGCCUAAAGAUAAAGACUGGACUGGCCCAAAGGAACUCUACACCCCUAACCAGCAGGAAGUGGCCUAUAGAAGUCUGUGGCCCCUUUUCCCUCUAGUCUCCUCUCUCUCCUGUCUAGUGUUGGGAGUUUGGAAGGGAGGUACAGAUGUAAGAACCGAGAAAAACAGUAAAACAAAUAUGCCAACAUA